GUUCUGGUGCCCGAGGCCGGCUGCAUUUCCAGCCUGUACUUUACAUCCCAGCAUUCCAACAGUGGGAAAUGUAGUCUUUGAUCCGAUUACGUCAUCAUCACCGGCCAAGGAAGGCGGCUUUUUCGUGCCUGUGGCGCUUUGUUCCUUCCGCGUGGCUGGGGAGAACCUGCCGCCGUGCUGACCGUGCUCUGCCGGACACGGUGUCCAUGACGGCAGAGUGUUCCUAUGGCAGCUGUGUUUGUGGGGUGUCUUAAAGUGAGUAAAGCCUCUGGUCCCCUCCAGCAUUUCUUUGGCCUGCCUAGCAGUCCUGGAGUGAACAAAAUAACCCUACCUUCUCCUGAAACACUGGAUGGCAUUUAAAGGUAAAUUUUAGAAUUUUGGCCCCUUUUUAAUGAAGAAAAAGAACAUACUGGAGUGUUGAUGGGAUAUUUAUAUUAGUGACAGGGAACACUUCAUUUUGAUGAAUUUUGAGAAACUUGUCAUCUCUGUAAAGCUAUAAUUUUAGAAACAUCUGUAUUUGUUCAGGAUUAAGAAAAUGAAUUCAUUUUCGGAGUUCAUUUCAUUUGAGGAUGUUGCUAUGGACUUUACCUGGGAGGAGUGGCAGGGCCUCAAAGAUGCUCAGAAGAUUCUAUACAAGGAUGUGAUGCUGGAGACCUACAGAAACCUGGUGUUUUUGGGACACUGCAUUGCCAAACCUGCAGUCAUCUUGAAGUUGGAGCAAGAAGGAGAGCCAUGGACAUUAGGAGAACAACUCAAUCAGAGCCUUGCAGGUUUGACAAUACAUACUUGUCAGGGACCAGUGUAACGCAUAUUCUUUUAAACAGCUUGU